UGAGAGUUCAAGAGGGCGUGAAACCGCUUAGAAGCAAACGGAUGGACCUGACAGUGAGUCGAUAGCAUUCAGCUUUUUGUCCCAUCUCUGCCCGCCUGGAGAUCGCAAGACUCUCAGACUGCGGCGUAGGUAUGGUCAAUGAGUGCAUUUGUUGUCGAUGCGCACUAGGACCUGUGAUGGUGCUGGAAUAAAGUGAGUGGUUGCCGGCCAACCUGCUUGGUGUCUCGCCACUUGCUGUAACCGGGUUACUGUGACAGGAAUUUGACAGAAUGGGGCUCGCCUCUACUCAGCUGCGUGGAAAGCCUGGUCAAAUGAAAUGUGAUUCCUUGCUCGCAAGACUUUGCGAUGCCUGGCUCGGUGAUCUGUGUAUGUUGAGAAAGCCUCGAAUCCUGGUGUUUUUGUCAGUCACCCAUCCGACCCGUCUUGAAACACGGACCAAGGAGUCUAACAUGUGCGCGAGUCACUGGGUGGUGAAACCCAAAGGCGAAAUGAAAGUGAUAACUUUGCAUGGGACCCUCUUUAAUCGGAGGAGCACCAUGGUCCCGUUCAUACUGCAUCGUCAGUGGAGCGGAGAUUGAGCGUACACGUUGGGACCCGAAAGAUGGUGAACUAUGCCUGAGCAGGAUGAAGCCAGAGGAAACUCUGGUGGAGGUCCAUAGCGAUUCUGACGUGCA
rnacentral:rRNA from 1 species